UUUCUAUUGUCCCAGGAAUGGAACUCGUUUGUAACCUGGGGACUGCCUGUACCAGCUUAAUGGCUUCCAAAGAAUGCUAGAAACUGUAGUUUGGCAGGAGACAGAAUUAUAUCAGGGAUUUCCUAGUCCCUUUUCACAAAACUACAGCUCCCAAGUUUUCCUGUGAUGGGAGAAUGAAUAUUAAAACUUGACUGUGUUUAAGGAAGAUAUGCCCCUAACAAUAGCAGGAAAGAAGUCUCUGCUUCUGUCCAUCUGUGUGCCUCUGUGAAGCGCUAGCUGAUAAAACAGAGGCACUUUUGGGUCAGAUAGCUCUGGGGCACUAGAAUAUAUGAUUUCAGGAUCAGGCCCUCCCCAAAUACAUAUUCACUGGAAGAGGCUUAAAGCUUCCAUUUUAAUUAUAAGUAAUUAAUCCCAGAUAGCGUCAGAAAAACAAGCUUGCAAUAAGAUACUUAAACAUGCUGAUUCUUCUCCAGGAGAAAACUGUACUUUUAGACAAGUUCCCAUCUGUGCAAAUAAUAAAAUGAUGUGGUUAUAACUGGCUAUGAGUCUACAUGUUGAAUCAGCCACUAAUAAGCAUAGAGAGCAUAAACUGAAACUAUGCCAAACAGACUUCUCAGUUCUCUUAAGUUAUAGAUUUUAUAAUACUCAGUUAUUGGAAGUCUUUUGCAAUAACUUGUGUUAUGUGUAAUAUUAAAUGCACAAUUUACAAGUUCUCUACAGAAGAAAAAAACUGAUCCAUUCAAAGCUUUACUAGUUGGCUGGUCCAGAGCUGACAUUUUUCACCAUUCUAAUAAACCAAAGGUUGGAGCUAGAUCAUCUCAUGUAAAAUAGAACCACCAAAGUUCAGUUAAGAAUACCUUGAGUGGAGCUCAUGGGUGGUUCUCAGUCAGUACUCCAAGAACUUCUGAUCUCUGCAUUGGCAUCUAGAGCAUCAGGCAAAAAUAUUUUCUACCUCUUCUGACAAAGAUUCUUCGAAGUGGAAAUGGCAAGGUGCAUUUCAGUCUCAACACUUGAGGACCAAAUUACAUGUAAAUGCAUAUAACAAGAUGAGCUUUCCUUCAUGGCUUCAUGCAUCUGGCUGUCUGGCUGUUCAACAAAAUUGAUGUCAGCCAUUCUUUUGACACCAGAUUGCUGCUUCUUAAAAGAGGACUCCUUUGCAGUGAGCCUAUUAAGCAAUGAAGGUGGAGAAGAUUCGGGCCCUGGACUUCAAUGUUAAGAGUUCUGCAAGGAUCAGUCAGUCCCCCAUGUCUCCACUGGUCUGGAAUUGUGUUCACACCAGCCAUCAAAAAACAGACCAGAUUUUAUGAAGUUGAGUAUUUCUGAAAGAAGUCUGCUUGCAGCUCUGGCAAAUUCCAGAAGAAGAAGUCACAGUUCCAGGAGACCUGCUGAGCUUUCCUCCAUAUGUGCCUUGCAUAUGUCUAACAUACGGCAGAGGGGCCCCACAGAGUCAGUGGGAGGAUGUGUUCUCUGUCAUAUGGCCAGAAUCGCAAAUGAACUGUGUAAUUGGAUGGAUAGGAUUCCGUGAUUCUUUCAUCCCCAGCAUGUACAGAUUUUCCACUCCAUCAACAGCUCAAAGAGCAGCUGACAUUAACCAAGCAAGGAACACUCUAAGUUCAGGUAACAUUGGAAGGAUUUUCUUGAAUAUCUUUUUGCUAUCUAUGAGCACAUUUAGUGAGGCAGGCAAUUCUCUUGGUAAACUCAAGGCAAAGAGCAUGACCAACGAGUUCUCGUUUCCAGUUGCUUCAAAACUCUCUGCCAUCAUAUGUUGCUUUUUAAUAACUAUAUUUCUGUACAUUUUAUGAAGACAGUUUUUACUAAUAAUUCAUUCACCUUACUCAAUUUUUAGUUUAAUGUUUUCAAAAUACGAUGAUCCACAUUGUUUUAUUUCUAAACUAAAGGCACCUCAGUGUUCCUUUUAAAUUUAAACACAAGUUUUACCCCGAACACAGGAAAAUCAAAAUAAAAACUGAUGGUGCUUCUGGACAGAUUUGUUACUCUGCCAUUUCCCUGCCUUAAACAUAUUUUUUUUGAAUAUGUGCAUGCAUAUGACAUACUUUUCCAUUUGAAACCCUCAUAUUUUCCCAUUGCUUCUUAAG